AGGUAAGCUACUAAGAGCGAAUGGUGGAUGCCUUGACUGGUAAAGGCGAUGAAGGACGUACUAGACUGCGAUAAGCUACGGGGAGCUGUCAAGAAGCUUUGAUCCGUAGAUUUCCGAAUGGGGCAACCCAAUGUAUAGAGAUAUACAUUACCUAUAUAGGAGCGAACGAGGGGAAUUGAAACAUCUUAGUACCCUCAGGAAAAGAAAUCAAUAGAGAUUGCGUCAGUAGCGGCGAGCGAAAGCGCAAGAGGGCAAACCCAGUGCUUGCACUGGGGGUUGUAGGACUGCAAUGUGCAAGAGGUAAGUUUAGCAGAACAUUCUGGAAAGUAUAACCAUAGAGGGUGAUAGUCCCGUAUGCGAAAAACAAACCUUAGCUAGCAGUAUCCUGAGUAGGGCGGGACACGAGGAAUCCUGUCUGAAUCCGGGUCGACCACGAUCCAACCCUAAAUACUAAUACCAGAUCGAUAGUGCACAAGUACCGUGAGGGAAAGGUGAAAAGAACUGAGGUGAUCAGAGUGAAAUAGAACCUGAAACCAUUUGCUUACAAUCAUUCAGAGCCCUAUGUAGCAAUACAGGGUGAUGGACUGCCUUUUGCAUAAUGAGCCUGCGAGUUGUGGUGUCUGGCAAGGUUAAGCAAACGCGAAGCCGUAGCGAAAGCGAGUCUGAAUAGGGCGCUUAGUCAGAUGCUGCAGACCCGAAACGAAGUGAUCUAUCCAUGAGCAAGUUGAAGCUAGUGUAAGAACUAGUGGAGGACUGAACCCAUAGGCGUUGAAAAGCCCCGGGAUGACUUGUGGAUAGGGGUGAAAGGCCAAUCAAACUUCGUGAUAGCUGGUUCUCUCCGAAAUAUAUUUAGGUAUAGCGUUGUGUCGUAAUAUAAGGGGGUAGAGCACUGAAUGGGCUAGGGCAUACACCAAUGUACCAAACCCUAUCAAACUCCGAAUACCUUAUAUGUAAUCACAGCAGUCAGGCGGCGAGUGAUAAAAUCCGUCGUCAAGAGGGAAACAACCCAGACUACCAGCUAAGGUCCCUAAAUCUUACUUAAGUGGAAAACGAUGUGAAGUUACUUAAACAACCAGGAGGUUGGCUUAGAAGCAGCCAUCCUUUAAAGAAAGCGUAAUAGCUCACUGGUCUAGUGAUUUUGCGCGGAAAAUAUAACGGGGCUAAAGUAAGUACCGAAGCUGUAGACUUGCACACAACUUAGAUUAUUUAAGUUUAGAAUAUGAGAAACUAAGUUAUGUUUAGUUAUAUUUUUACUGAUUUUUAUAGAGUAAAGAUAGAAAUAAAACUUAGUAAAAUCAGUAAAAAUAUUCUUAGGCUAAAGUUAAGUAGUUUAAGUUGUGUGCAAGUGGUAGGAGAGCGUUCUAUUUGCGUCGAAGGUAUACCGGUAAGGAGUGCUGGAGCGAAUAGAAGUGAGCAUGCAGGCAUGAGUAGCGAUAAUUAAUGUGAGAAUCAUUAACGCCGUAAACCCAAGGUUUCCUACGCGAUGCUCGUCAUCGUAGGGUUAGUCGGGUCCUAAGUCGAGUCCGAAAGGGGUAGACGAUGGCAAAUUGGUUAAUAUUCCAAUACCAACAUUAGUGUGCGAUGGAAGGACGCUUAGGGCUAAGGGGGCUAGCGGAUGGAAGUGCUAGUCUAAGGUCGUAGGAGGUUAUACAGGCAAAUCCGUAUAACAAUACUCCGAGAACUGAAAGGCUUUUUGAAGUCUUCGGAUGGAUAGAAGAACCCCUGAUGCCGUCGAGCCAAGAAAAGUUUCUAAGUUUAGCUAAUGUUGCCCGUACCGUAAACCGACACAGGUGGGUGGGAUGAGUAUUCUAAGGCGCGUGGAAGAACUCUCUUUAAGGAACUCUGCAAAAUAGCACCGUAUCUUCGGUAUAAGGUGUGGUUAGCUUUGUAUUAGGAUUUACUCCGAAAGCAAGGAAACUUACAACAAAGAGUCCCUCCCGACUGUUUACCAAAAACACAGCACUCUGCUAACUCGUAAGAGGAUGUAUAGGGUGUGACGCCUGCCCGGUGCUCGAAGGUUAAUUGAUGGGGUUAGCAUUAGCGAAGCUCUUGAUCGAAGCCCGAGUAAACGGCGGCCGUAACUAUAACGGUCCUAAGGUAGCGAAAUUCCUUGUCGGUUAAAUACCGACCUGCAUGAAUGGCGUAACGAGAUGGGAGCUGUCUCAAAGAGGGAUCCAGUGAAAUUGUAGUGGAGGUGAAAAUUCCUCCUACCCGCGGCAAGACGGAAAGACCCCGUGGACCUUUACUACAGCUUGACACUGCUACUUGGAUAAGAAUGUGCAGGAUAGGUGGGAGGCUUUGAGUAUAUGACGCCAGUUGUAUAUGAGCCAUUGUUGAGAUACCACUCUUUCUUAUUUGGGUAGCUAACCAGCUUGAGUUAUCCUCAAGUGGGACAAUGUCUGGUGGGUAGUUUGACUGGGGCGGUCGCCUCCCAAAUAAUAACGGAGGCUUACAAAGGUUGGCUCAGAACGGUUGGAAAUCGUUCGUAGAGUAUAAAGGUAUAAGCCAGCUUAACUGCAAGACAUACAAGUCAAGCAGAGACGAAAGUCGGUCUUAGUGAUCCGGUGGUUCUGUGUGGAAGGGCCAUCGCUCAAAGGAUAAAAGGUACCCCGGGGAUAACAGGCUGAUCUCCCCCAAGAGCUCACAUCGACGGGGAGGUUUGGCACCUCGAUGUCGGCUCAUCGCAUCCUGGGGCUGGAGCAGGUCCCAAGGGUAUGGCUGUUCGCCAUUUAAAGCGGUACGCGAGCUGGGUUCAGAACGUCGUGAGACAGUUCGGUCCCUAUCUGCCGUGGGCGUAAGAAGAUUGAAGAGAUUUGACCCUAGUACGAGAGGACCGGGUUGAACAAACCACUGGUGUAGCUGUUGUUCUGCCAAGAGCAUCGCAGCGUAGCUAAGUUUGGAAAGGAUAAACGCUGAAAGCAUCUAAGCGUGAAGCCAACUCUAAGAUGAAUCUUCUCUAAGCUCUCUAGAAGACUACUAGUUUGAUAGGCUGGGUGUGUAAUGGAUGAAAGUCCUUUAGCUGACCAGUACUAAUAGAGCGUUUGGCUUAUCUUU
rnacentral:rRNA from 1 species